CAGAGAAAGGCAAUCGCCUCCUUGUUCAUGUUAAUGUCUUGGGAGAUUUAGAAAAAGCGCAACGCGAGGGUAUUUCGCAACACCACUGCUACUACGAUGAUGGUCGUCGCAAAGAUCAAAGAGGAGGCCCAUAUUUGGGCUUUGGCAGGUGCCACCCAUUUGAGUAUUGUAAUGCCGCGAGAGUACUUCUUUGUCCCUGCUUUGCGGCUACUUGUCUAA
rnacentral:rRNA from 1 species